UGAGCAAUCUGCCCUUCUCUUCGGAAUAAGCGUGGGAAACCGCGUCUAAUGCCGAAUACGACCUCCUUUCGCAUGAUCGGAGGUGGAAAGCUCCGGCGGAGAAGGGUGAGCUCGCGGCCUAUCAGCUAGUUGGUGUGGUAAUGGCCCACCAAGGCGACGACGGGUAGCCGGCCUGAGAGGGUGACCGGCCACACUGGGACUGAGACAUGGCCCAGACCUCCGUACGGGGAGGNACGCG
rnacentral:rRNA from 1 species